UACAGGGGGUGCAAACGUUGCUCGGAAUCAUUGGGCGUAAAGCGCACGUAGGCGGUUCGUUAUGUCGGAUGUGAAAGCCCUGGGCUCAACCUGGGAAUUGCGAUGGAUACUGGCGAGCUAGAGUACGGUAGAGGAUGGUGGAAUUCCCGGUGUAGCGGUGAAAUGCGUAGAGAUCGGGAGGAACACCCGUGGCGAAGGCGGCCAUCUGGACCAGUACUGACGCUGAGGCACGAAAGCGUGGGGAGCAAACAGG
rnacentral:rRNA from 1 species